CUGGGGGUCAGUAAGAAGGGCUCCACUUUGGAGGAGUGGGCCUCUGGCUAAGAGCCAGGGUGAGAAGUCCCCAGGCUACCCUCUCCAGGGGCGUCUCUUGGCCCCAGUCGCCAUUCCUCCUAAGAUCUUGGAGCCAGAGAUGGUCUGGAGUCUGCACGGCACAGCCUUCUCCCUCCCCUGCCACCUCAAGUACGCACUAAAGAAGCAGAGGCCACACAGCGCAUGCCCGCCCUUUCCAAGCUGCCACACCCAGGCCCAGCCUCACCUGUAAGCCUUCUUGGAGUCAAAAUCCAUGCCACCUCCCAAGCCCAUCAUCAUGCCCAGGAAGGGAUCCGUCUGUGGGGAGAGGACAGCGAAGGGCCCUGCACUGAGCCAUCAGAUCGACCUUGUGUUUGCUUCCAGGGUCUAACUGUGCUGCCCUGGCUGUCCUGGAGCUCGCUCUGCAGACCAGGCUGGCUGUGAACUUACAAAGAUUCACCUUUCCUCUGCAUCCUCAGUGCUGGGAUUAGAGGUGUGCCUCAGCAUACCUAGCCUUAUUUUUCUAUUUACUAACUAAUGUGUGUGUGUGUGUGUGUGUGUGUGUGUGUCUAUGUGUGUACACAUGUGGACCUAGAGGUCAGCCAAGAGCCCAACCAUGUGUACUGUUUCUUAGGAAUUAGCCAAUUUUGAUUGAUUGAUUGAUUGAUUGGAUAGUGUCUCAAAAUAUAUGUAUGUAGUCCUGGCUAAUAUGGAAUUCACUAAGGAGACACCUGCCUCUGCCUACCAAGUGCUGGGAUCAAAGUGUGCCCCACACCACUUGGCUUAUUUUUAUCUAACUGUAUGUAUGUCCUUUAUGUGUGGGUGCCAAAGAGGACAGAAGAGGACAUUGGAUCUCCAGGAGUUGGGGCUGAAGGCAGUUGUGAGCCACCUGACCUGAAUCUUAACCACCGAGCCAUCUCUCUAUCCCCAAAAAAUUAUAUAUAUAUAAAUGAUUGAACUCAGGGCCUUGUAUAUGCCAAGCAAACACUGCCACUGAGUUAUAUCCUCA